UAGGGAAUCUUCGGCAAUGGGGGCAACCCUGACCGAGCAACGCCGCGUGAGUGAAGAAGGUUUUCGGAUCGUAAAGCUCUGUUGUAAGAGAAGAACGUGUGUGAGAGUGGAAAGUUCACACAGUGACGGUAACUUACCAGAAAGGGACGGCUAACUACGUGCCAGCAGCCGCGGUAAUACGUAGGUCCCGAGCGUUGUCCGGAUUUAUUGGGCGUAAAGCGAGCGCAGGCGGUCUAAUAAGUCUGAAGUUAAAGGCAGUGGCUUAACCAUUGUUCGCUUUGGAAACUGUUAAACUUGAGUGCAGAAGGGGAGAGUGGAAUUCCAUGUGUAGCGGUGAAAUGCGUAGAUAUAUGGAGGAACACCGGUGGCGAAAGCGGCUCUCUGGUCUGUAACUGACGCUGAGGCUCGAAAGCGUGGGGAGCAAACAGG
rnacentral:rRNA from 1 species